UGAGGAAUAUUGGUCAAUGGGCGCGAGCCUGAACCAGCCAAGUAGCGUGCAGGAUGACGGCCCUAUGGGUUGUAAACUGCUUUUGUAUGGGGAUAAAGUCAAUCACGUGUGAUUGUUUGCAGGUACCAUACGAAUAAGGACCGGCUAAUUCCGUGCCAGCAGCCGCGGUAAUACGGAAGGUCCAGGCGUUAUCCGGAUUUAUUGGGUUUAAAGGGAGCGUAGGCUGGAGAUUAAGUGUGUUGUGAAAUGUAGACGCUCAACGUCUGAAUUGCAGCGCAUACUGGUUUCCUUGAGUACGCACAACGUUGGCGGAAUUCGUCGUGUAGCGGUGAAAUGCUUAGAUAUGACGAAGAACUCCGAUUGCGAAGGCAGCUGACGGGAGCGCAACUGACGCUUAAGCUCGAAGGUGCGGGUAUCAAACAGGAUUAGAUACCCUGGCAGUCCGCACAGUAAACGAUGGAUGCCCGCUGUUGGUACCUGGUAUCAGCGGCUAAGCGAAAGCAUUAAGCAUCCCACCUGGGGAGUACGCCGGCAACGGUG
rnacentral:rRNA from 1 species